rnacentral:rRNA from 1 species
UACGGAGGAUCCAAGCGUUAUCCGGAUUUAUUGGGUUUAAAGGGUGCGUAGGCGGCCUAUUAAGUCAGGGGUGAAAGACGGUAGCUUAACUAUCGCAGUGCCUUUGAUACUGAUGGGCUUGAAUGUACUAGAGGUAGGCGGAAUGUGACAAGUAGCGGUGAAAUGCAUAGAUAUGUCACAGAACACCGAUUGCGAAGGCAGCUUACUAUGGUAUUAUUGACGCUGAGGCACGAAAGCGUGGGGAUCAAACGG